AGAAAUUUUACUGUUCCAUAUCUGUCUAAAGUCUGCCUUGCUACUAGCUGGGAUAAUUUCUUUCCUCUUUCCUUUUUUUUCUGCAGUGCUUCUAAGUAUAGUGACAGCCGUAUGAGGCUUUCCUAGUCUCAGCAACAGCUCAGUGAAAAUUCGGGAAAUGUAAGUGGAAAUAUGAGAGACCGCUUUAUUUGGCAGUACUUUAAAGGGGGGGGCGGGCAGGACAAAUGGCAAAGCAGUGUUUGGACCACAGGAUGAACAAUCAAUAGGCAGAAAGCAAGAUAGAGGCUUCCUCUGCUUUUGGAUCGACAAUCGACAGCUGAGAGACUAUUUUUUGCUAUGGUUGACUAAAUAUGGUCAGGGAAGAGAGAGGCACAAGAGAGCCUGUUUGCCUGGGAGUGCAUGUUUCAAAUGCUUAGCUGCCUAUAAAGCUGUAACAGUGUGGCCUGUGGUCACUGAGGGAAGAAUAUAAGUUGGCCUCUGUAGUGACCAUGUGGAAGUCCCAUCCUCGCUUGCAGACCUGACCUUGGGAUGUGACAAGGUAGCUUUAUUACAGAUCUACCAUUUAAUCCUGGAAACUCAAAAACCAAAAACGCAAAGCAAGAAAGAUGCAGAAUACUUCCCGAGGAGUCAGAAGAAUUCAAUGUAUUCUGGUGGGCAAAGGAAAACAGGGUGAAUGUUUAUUUACUUGGUUGGGGUAAGGUGUGCUUUGGGUUGGUUUAUUUCUGGGUUUGUUUUGGUCUCUUUUUGGAUUAUAAAAUUAACUCUCUCUGCAACUUUUCCCCUCUUCUGCCACACUUCAUCUAACAAAUAAGCUAGAUACAUUUUCGUGGCCUUUGCAGCAAUCUUCCUUAGUGACUUUUCUCUACAUAACUGUAAUAACUGGUAUAUGACAUUCCAAAUCAAAUGGCCAAUGUUGAUUCAAAUUUAUUGUAGGGUUUUUUUUUCCUUUAGGAGAGGGGGGAGAAAAGCUGGUUAUUUGUUUGUUUGUCUUUCAAAUGUAUCUUCAAAUGUGGGGUUCUGUGUUCACUGACAGCCCUCCCUCUCCACACGGGCUCAGGAAAGAAGUGCUGAAUCAGCGAGGAGCGUGUGCGCAGGGCCGCGAGGCGAUGGCUGCUGCAUGUGACUCUGUAGGUCACUACCUGUCCUGCUGCUGGCACUGGGCAAUACUAGGCUGACAGGAUCUAAUGACAAUAAAAGAAGAGAAAGAAGCUUCUUUCUCUGAAGACUAUGACCGAGCUGCUGUUACCAAUUUCUGAAACACUGCAAAGCUCCACUGAUUCUAUGAAUCUCCUGCAAAAAAGAACCAAACUAGGACAAAGUUCAACGGAAAACUGGACAUUUACAAAUGUCCAUGUCCAUCGAGAACAAGGAACCCUAAGCGGCGUUACUGCCUGAUCAGGUAAACUGGCUAUGAAGUGCAGUCUUUGAUAAUUUAGUCUCUGCAAAUCAUCCACCAGUACUCUGCAGCAGUGAGCUAACUAGUAACAAAUAUAUUAUUUAUAUUAUAAGUGUUUACAGCUAGCUACUUCCUAAUACCUACUCAGAGCACAUACUUCUUUAUGUACCCAUAUGAACAUACAAUGCUAUGGAAUGUAAAGAAGUAUGUAUUUUUGGUAGGUAACAAGCUACCUAGAGCAACUAAACUGCAGCUAAAAGCAACCCUUGCUUCUCUUCUGUGCAAAUGACCUUCGUGUGGUAAUAAGCUCAUAUCCCCAGGAUGAUCUCUGGCAACACUCACACACACACACACAGAAAUCCUUACUGAGUGCUUACAGAUGGAAACUCGGUAUCCUUAGGACUUAUACUUAGUGAAAGAAAAGUCCUACUGAAGUAGAUUUCAAAUUACAUGAAAGUCCUUUUAACGUAUUUAAAUACCUUCUACCUUUUUUGAGUAUUUACAUGAUUAAAAUUUGAUAAUAAGAGGAAAAAUAGUACUAGCAUAAAAGAGUAAAAGAUACAUAUAUUUUCUUCACAAUAUGAUCAUAGCUCAAGUAUCUAUCAACUCACUGGGGAAGAAAAAUAAGAUACAAGAAAAGCUGGCUCCAUGCCAGGCAUGGUGGCACAUACCUAUAAUGCCAGCACUCUGGGAGGCUGAGGCAAGAAGCUUUCAAGUUGGAACUAGCCUGGGCAACUCAGGAACUUAAGACACCCUCUUUUAAAAUUUAAAAGGAUUUAAAAGAGCUGGAGAUGCAUCUGAGUGCAAAGGGCUUCAGUUCGAACUGCAAUACUGCCCAAAAAAAAAAAAAAAAAAAAAAAAAAAAAGGCUAACCACUCAUCUUUAAUAGCUAUUCUUCACAUCUAGUAAGUUUAUAAUCUAUCAAUAUAAGAAGAAUUUCUGAUUGUAUUAUCUUUGAAUCUGCUUCCUCUAGGGAGAAUACAUAAAAUGAAAACAUUACAGUCAAGAAUCAACUUAUACACAUAGAAUACACAUAGUGCCAUUUUUAUUGGUAUUGUACUAUGCAAUUAUAACACAGUUUUACAGAUAUAACAGAUCCACUGGACUAUAUAAAAAAUGUCAAUUUUAUAUAAUCUGUUAUAUACAUGUAUAAAAACACAAGCCAGGCCAGGUGGUGUGUGCCUCUAAUUCUUAGCACUUUGGGACACAGAGGCGGAGGACUGCAAACCCAAGCCUAGACUUAGUGAGACCCUAUGUCAAAAAAUAAAAAUCUGGCUAAAGAAAGAGUUCAGCACCAAGAUCCUGGGUUCAAUUCCCAGUACUCGGAAGGAAGGAAGAAAGAAUGGAAAGAAAGAAGGAUUUUAGCAAUAAUCAUUAAGCAAUACCUGUUUUAAGUAGCUAUAAUAUUACAAAGAAAAAAGAAAAUACUAGUAUUUGUAUAUUUUAUUUUUUACUAAAAGUUGUUUCAGUAAUAUUUUACCAAAAACAGUAAUAUGUUAAUCUUUGGUAUUAAAAAGCUGAAUGGAAAUAAGUUUAACUACCAUCAAUUUUCUGUUUAGUAAGACAAUUCAUUAGUAAAUGAUUUUCAUUUUACCAGAUUAUACUGAAUGAGAAAAUUAUAUGAAGUAGUACAUUACUGCACAUUUACUGGAAAUUAUAGAAAGUAUGAUUUUUAAAUUCUAUGUUUCAAAGAAAUUAGUGCAAAUCUUAACUCACUUAAGCAUAGCCCUCUGAUCACCUACCAAAAAGAAUGACAAUACUUCAGGUUCCACUUUUUACCUUUACCUGUACAUGUCCUAAAUGCCAAAAACUAAAAAUAUAUGAUUCCAAAGCAGAAGUUGUUCUAUAAAACUACUCAAAGGGUAUUACUUUCCUUAUACUUUGUAAUAAGCAAUUACAUUUGUUAUUUUACUGGUAAGUAUAAGUUUUAAUAAUUCUUUUUAAACAUUCCAGCAACUAAGAAUUUAAUCCUUAAAAACUGAUGUUAUGCAUUUAUAAAGUCAAAUUAUAAAUCGUAGUUACUACUUUAACUUAACAUAUCUAGGAGUAUUUUCAAUCAUUCUAAAAUGUCACCUCUAUCACUUAGAUCAGCUGUUCACUUUUAACUGAGUACAUGUUAAACUCUGGACAUCUGCUGACACUGGUAUAACUCAAACAUUUCAACUGUCUCCCUGACAGGGAUAACAGAUGCUGACAUUAUCAAAUGCUGUACUAUUUUUUUCCCAUGGCCUCUCCUUGCCCCGAUAUGGCCAGUAUAUGAAACUGAACUGCCGUCCAAAAGCACACUUGAGCAACUGGAUCUGCUAAAUGGCUCCCAUAUAACUAGUAAAAAUAGAAGCCGGUGUUAUUGCUAUCUUCAGCACUUAAGUUCAUGCAAUGUAACACCUGUUUCAUUUCUACUAGAAUAAAUGAUGGAAAGAACUACAGAUACAUUAAUUUUACCAGCAGCCGGACACUUAACAACCGACACAGAAAUACACUUAACGUAACAAUUGUUUGCACACUGCCCAAAUUACUGUUGACUCUCUCCCAGUUCAGUUCAGAAUAGUUCACUCUAUUUCACUUCAUUUUACUUUGUAAACAAAUCACAAUUUAUCUAACUUGUAUUUUCUGCAAGUAUUUUUCAGAAGACAUUCUUCUCCUCAUAUUGAAAACAACAGCAAAACCACACUGUACUAAAAACUUACACUACCAAUUAUUAUAUGGUAAAUUUUAAUACUAAAAAUUCACGAAUUACAGCUAACCACAAGUCAAUGCACAGUUAAGCUAAUAAUGAGAAGUAACCAGACAAUCUGUACCCAAAAUGAUAGUGAAUUUAGUCAGGGAAACAGACUUUUAAAAGGGUUAAGUUACUGACCAAUGAUUAGUAACUCUACAUGAGCAACAACAAAAGAAAAAUAAGGUGGCAUGAAUGGUAGCUCCUCCCAACACAAGUCUAUUUAUAACCCAAAGGGCAGAAGAGUUUCUUAAAGUCAUUCAUAUUUCUCCUCCCACUGUCAGCAACUUGCUAUGAGCCCUCGACUAUAACACUAAAAGAAAGCAGUGAUAAUAGAAAUGUGUAGCUAAUAUCACUCUUCCCAACUACUAGCUGAACAGUUUAGUACCUAGAAGUAAAUAGAAGACAUUACUCUGAAAUGUGUUAAAGUCUACUUUUUCUUAUAAAUGCUGUUGGGUUUGAAGUAAGUUAUUGUUUACAUUUAAGAAUUAAUCAAAAAUGUUAAAAUGAAGAUAUGUACUGACAAUGUGUGAAAAGGAAAAGCCUUUGCAACUGUGAAGAGCAGGAAAAGUGCCGGCAAGACAGAAUUUUAUAUUCAGUAACGGAAGCACUGAAAUGAGAAUUUCUAAACUUGUGGAUGAUCUGUAACUGUAUUUUUACAAACGAAAUCACUGAUUUGUCCUGGGUCCCAAACCAGCAGCACUACAAUGCUUUGCUAAAGCUGGUAAAAUGGAACCAAAUCGCCUCUUCAAUGGAUUUGGUCCCCUUCAACCAGCUGUAGCUAUGCAUUGAUUUCUGCAGGAGAGCCAGCACUUUCAGUUAUUAUUAUCAAUUAUAUGUCAACUAAUUUUAACUUACUUAAGUUAUUCGGACUGUGGCUAAAACUGUUACUAUUCUACUUCAAAGAACUAAAGUGGUUAAAGACAUUUAUAAAAAGCUUUUUGAAAAAAUGUAUGGAUAACUUACAAAUUUCAAAUAAAAUAAUCUACUCAUU